rnacentral:rRNA from 1 species
GAUGAACGCUGGCGGCGUGCCUAAUACAUGCAAGUCGAGCGAACAGAUAAGGAGCUUGCUCCUCUGAAGUUAGCGGCGGACGGGUGAGUAACACGUGGGUAACCUACCUAUAAGACUGGGAUAACUUCGGGAAACCGGAGCUAAUACCGGAUAACAUUUAGAACCGCAUGGUUCAAAAGUGAAAGACGGUCUUGCUAUCACUUAUAGAUGGACCCGCGCCGCAUUAGCUAGUUGGUAAGGUAACGGCUUACCAAGGCGACGAUGCGUAGCCGACCUGAGAGGGUGAUCGGCCACACUGGAACUGAGACACGGUCCAGACUCCUACGGGAGGCAGCAGUAGGGAAUCUUCCGCAAUGGGCGAAAGCCUGACGGAGCAACGCCGCGUGAGUGAUGAAGGGCUUCGGAUCGUAAAACUCUGUUAUUAGGGAAGAACAAAUGUGUAAGUAACUGUGCACAUCUUGACGGUACCUAAUCAGAAAGCCACGGCUAACUACGUG